AGCUUUGCGCAGUGGCGAUAUCGUAACCAAUGAGGUACAUCCGAGGUGCGAUUAUUGCUAGUUGAAAAAAUGAAUCACAGAAUUCCACAAAAUCAUGUUUUCUUUGUUCAAACUUUGCAAAUUUCUUCAUUACGUCGUGAUUUAAA